GUAUUAGUAGUGCUUGUGCACAACAAGAGUUUCAUUACAUUCGAGUGUGUAUGUAGAAAAUCCUCUGCCAGCCGAGGCCAGCAAGAGGCCAAAGGUUCACAAGAGUGUUGGAUGAAAGUCACCAACGUGCACUUGCCGGAGCCAGCACUGAAGGCAACGAUUCACAGUCAAUAAUGAUCCUUCCGCAGGUUCACCUACGGAAA
rnacentral:misc_RNA from 1 species